UCCUACGGGACGCAGCAGUGGGGGAUAUUGCACAAUGGGGGAAACCCUGAUGCAGCGACGCCGCGUGUGGGAAGACGGUCUUCUGGAUUGUAAACCACUGUCCCCAGGGACGAAAAAGACGGUACCUGAGGAAUAAGCCACGGCUAACUACGUGCCAGCAGCCGCGGUAAUACGUAGGUGGCAAGCGUUAUCCGGAUUUAUUGGGUGUAAAGGGCGUGUAGGCGGGAGCGCAAGUCAGAUGUGAAAACUCAGGGCUCAACCCUGAGCCUGCAUUUGAAACUGUGUUUCUUGAGUGCUGGAGAGGC
rnacentral:rRNA from 1 species